rfam:Clostridium sp. IEH 97212 scaffold_31, whole genome shotgun sequence.
AAAGCUGAAGAAGAAGUCAAUAUAGAGGAAGAGAGAAGACUUUUUUAUGUAGGUAUUACAAGGGCAAAAGAAAAUUUGUAUUUAACUGUCCCAAA